CGCGAAGAACCUUACCUACCCUUGACAUGCACGGAAGCCACGAGAGAUCGAGGUGUGCUCGAAAGAGAGCCGUAACACAGGUGCUGCAUGGCUGUCGUCAGCUCGUGUCGUGAGAUGUUGGGUUAAGUCCCGCAACGAGCGCAACCCUUGUCAUUAGUUGCUACAUUCAGUUGAGCAUUCUAAUGAGACUGCCGGUGACAAACCGGAGGAAGGUGGGAAUGACGUCAAGUCCUCAUGGCCCUUAUGGGUAGGGCUUCACACGUCAUACAAUGGUACAUACAGAGGGCCGCCAACCCACGUGGGGGAGCUAAUCCCAGAAAGUGUAUCGUAGUCCGGAUCGCAGUCUGCAACUCGACUGCGUGAAGUUGGAAUCGCUAGUAAUCGCGGAUCAGCAUGUCGCGGUGAAUACGUUCCCGGGCCUUGUACACAC
rnacentral:rRNA from 1 species